rnacentral:rRNA from 1 species
UACGAAGGGGGGCUAGCGUUGUUCGGAAUUACUGGGCGUAAAGCGCACGUAGGCGGAUCUGUAAGUAGGGGGUGAAAUCCCCGGGCUCAACCCCGGGAACUGCCUUCUAGACUGCAGACCUUGAGAUCAGGAGAGGCGAGCGGAAGUUCCGAGUGUAGAGGUGAAAUUCGUAGAUAUUCGGAGGGAACACCAGUGGCGAACGGCGGCUCGCUGGACUGAUACUGACGCUGAGGUGCGAAAGCGUGGGGAGCAACAGG